ensembl:lncRNA
CGUUGGAUUGCGUGCGCUGAACAAUCCGGACAUCGUGGCCACCGACGUGGACACCCCGCCACGAGACCCACGCACACCGACCACCACACUGGGAAGUGUCCUCUGCUCCCUGUGGAAGCAGCAUGGAAGAACUGCAGCAACUCUGAUGGAAACUACCGGGCCUCCACGCUGUUGAACACAAACUGUAGGCCUACUACAAACAGAGGCGGUCCCACUCGGUUAAAGAUCUCGAGGUCAAUGCGGCAGACCGCUGGACCUGGACGUCACCUUCUGCAGAUACUUCACUGCCCUCAGGAAUCCACGGAUAAGGUGAAACAUGUCCGAAAAAUGUCCGAAAAAUCCAAGAUGGAAACUUGUGGAAGGAAGAAAGGGUUCUAUUUUUGCUCAACCCAUAACCCCACUGAGACCUUCUGUGGAAACCUGUCUGACUGACUGACCCUACUGACUGGGGGCCUGUUGAUGUGUGUUUGGUUGGUCUGGUAGAAGGUUUGCUGCUUGUGAUCUGCAAGGUGGUCCUGGGUUAGAUGCGGUGUCUGACUUGCACACCACUCUCCCAAUUCUAUUCUUCUCUUUACUACUUUUCUACUUUCAAUACACUUGCUGCUGCUGCUGUUGACCGCUGGUGGUGCAAUGUGGUUUUUAUUCGCGUAUGUUCUGUGGACUUUGCAUUUGUAUUAAUGAACAUGUUUACUGCCUGUUAGACCUCGGAUUGGCAAACCUAAACUCCUUCACUGGCAAAAUGUAGAUGCAAAUUAAAUGCCAAAAUUAACAUUUCAAUAUUCGUUUUGCGUAUUUCACCAAUAGCUUCGUAACUAGACGGACCUCAUAUAUAAUUUGCUCUUCAAAGAUGCGGUCAGGCGCCCCUCCGUUAUAUAACGUUUUCUGCCCGCUACGAAAUAGACCGAGCAAUAGCAACCCUUUAGGCUAUCUAAUGUGAGGUUGGAUAUACGCAACAUGUAGAGGUGUUUCAACAACAAAGAUGGAAGUUAGUGAACUAAAGACUCUAUAUGCUCACUAAAAGAACAAACGACUACUACUCUUAAAGAUUUUGAGGAAUAUGUAUUUCUGCAUCACCAGUUCCAAUGCUAUGAUUAGUCGAGGCCUAUCCAAUAGCAUAGCAUCGACCCAUUUUAGGUCGCGCCGUUUAGACACGCCCCUUGGAAAUUGAACAACGCACUUCAACCAUGACUUCAACGCAGAGGAUCCAGAAGGAUUUCACAAAGAGUCCAUUGGAAGAUAUCGAGGAACAUGAACAUCACCAAUGAAGGAGAGUAACGUUUCCACUUGCUAUAGGAUUUUAGUGAAGCACUAAAUAGAUAAUAAUAAUAAUAAUAAUAAAAUGUGGUCACCAUUUAUUGACUUUUUGGGUAAGACUUGCUUUACUAAUAUAACCGUGUUAAAACCGCAUUCCUUUACUUUUCUUGUGUAGUUUCCCACUAUUCAUUAAAUGUGUUAUAGAAGUAAAAAAGUAAUCAAUAGAACUAUACACAUUUUUACAACAAUUAAUCAUUAUACAGGAUUUGAACAUUUUCUAUUCGAGCUCAUGCUUCAUAAUAUUUCCAAGGAUUGCAGAGUACCAAAUGAUUUAUGAACAGUGGUUUGUUUUUGUUCAGGAGCGGAUUGUACUCCCAGAGGCUUCAACAGAGCGGGUCUGGAGCUGGGAGCUGCAGGUGGAUGGUGGCCAGGAGCCGUUUAGUCCUACAGGAACAGACGGAGGUGAUGGAGGCGGUCGUCUGGAGGUGCUCGUCUGGAGGUCCGUGGCGGUCGUCUGGAGGUGCUCGCCGUGAGGUCCAUGGCGGUCGUCUGGAGGCGCUCGCUGCAGGUGGAGGGAAGGCCGGGAGCCGUGCAGCCCAACGGAUGCAGAACGAAGGACUGAGGCGGAGGUCCUGGAGGGAGAGGCCAGCCUGGAGGGAGAGGCUAGCCUGGAGGCGGUGGUGGCCUGGAGGCGUCCAACCUGGAAGGGGAGGCAUGGAGAGCCAGGUGGCGGCUCCUCAUCCAAAGGGCCUGGAGGCGGCCAACCUGGAAGGCCUGGAGACGGUCGAGGUCCUGGAGGCAACGGCGGGCCUGGAGGUGGAGGCCAACCUGGAGGUCCUGGAGUCGGUGGGCCUGGAGGCGGCGGUUGGGUCCAACCUGGAGGGUCCGGCGGCGGCGGCGUCCUGGGGGGGCCCGGCGGCGGCGGCGUCCUGGAGGGCCCGGCGGCGGCGGCGUCCUGGAGGGUCCGGCGGCGGCGGCGUCCUGGAGGGCCUGGAGGCGGCGGCUCCUCAUCCAAAGAAAUGAGGCGACGUUGCGGAGGUCCAGGCGUUUGGCCCGGUGGAGGUCCUGGAGGAGACGGCCUGGAGGUGGAGGACGGCUGGGGGAUCCGGCGGUGGAGGUCCGAAGGCGGCUCGUGAUUAGACCAACCAGCUCCUCAUCCAUGGAAGCGUCCUCAUGGUGCAGGCGGUCAAACCUCCACCUCUUUGAAGAGACCAAGCAGCUUAAUGACUGACUGGUUCUUUAUACUCCGGACCUCGUCCCGGAGCAGAGGACAGACCUAAGGCCUACAGCGCAGCAGACUAGAGACUCUCUGUGGAACCGGUUCAAUAAAGUUGACCUCUCCUUCAGGUGACUUAAAGGGAGACCAGAUGUGCGGCAGCUGGGUGUCAUGGUGCAGAGACCCAACGCUGCACUGAACUACACCAGUGUGUCCUACUCCCCAUAAACCCUGAGGAUCCCUGGCUACACCAGCACAUUAAUCCACACCCAACAUUAACACACAGUGCACACUCUAUAGAGCUUGUAAGUCCGCCCCUUGCGGCGGGACCUCGUGAGAUCGUAAGAUAUGACUGGGUUUCAAUGGAGAGAAAGUAAUUAUUUUCUCCAUUAUGUUGCACCACAUUUUGGGGGAAGAAUGUUUGAAUCAAUCUUUGUCAUUUAUUUCUGUACUCCAUAUCUGUAAUCCCAGCUGUUGUAUUUUAACACGGUAGCUGGGAAUCCUCUUUAUAGGGAGCGGCUAGAGGGACGAGCCUGGAAGCAAACCUGAGCCUGGAUCUUAACCUUCUUUCUAAACCUAAUGCCGCAAUUUAACCGCAAAUAAAGUGAGGCCUAAAGUAACUUGACUCUCUUACCUAAACUUGCUUGCCUAAACUCGCUUGUCUAAACUUGCUUGCAUAAAACCUAAACUUGCUUGCAUAAAACCUAAACUCGCUUGCAUAAAACCUAAACUCGCUUGCAUAAAACCUGAACUUGCUUAGCUAAACUCGCGUUGCUUGCCUAAUGCCUGAACUCGCUUGACCUGAACUCGCUUGCCUGAACUCGCUUGCCUGAACUUUGCUUGCCUGAACUCGCUUGCCUGAACUCGCUUGCCUUGCCCUGAACUCGCUUGCCUGAACUCGCUUGCCUGAACUCGCUUGCCUGAACUCGCUUGCCUGAACUCGCUUGCCUAGACUCGCUUGCCUAGCGCAAAUAAAGUGAGGCCUAAAGUAACUUGACCCUCUUACCUAAACUUGCUUGCCUAAACUCGCUUGCAUAAAACCUAAACUCGCUUGCAUAAAACCUAAACUCGCUUGCAUAAAACCUAAACUCGCUUGCAUAAAACCUAAACUCGCUUGAAUAAAACCUGAACUUGCUUGGCUAAACUCGCGUUGCUUGCCUAAUACCUGAACACGCUUGCCUGGACUCGCUUGCCUGGACUCGCUUGCCUGGACUCGCUUGCCUGGACUCGCUCGCUUGCCUGGACUCGCUUGCCUGGACUCGCUUGCCUAGACUCGUUUGCAUAAAACCUAGACUCGUUUGCCUAAUACCUGAAGUCGCUUACCUAAAACCUAAACUUGCUUGUCCAAACACGUUACGCAAAGUUAACCAUCCAUAAUCUUGAACCCAAACCAGACUUGUCCCUGGGUCGCUCCACUUUCAUUUAGAAGUUUCUUCUUUAACCUCAUCUACGUUUUGAGUUUCAUUCUUCGAGGGCUUGAAGUGCUUUGGAGGAUAUUUGAACCUUUGUUUUCCGCAUCAAUAAACAUGCUUUAUCUUUACCCAUUUUGUUUUGGAUUGCAUUUCUAUGUGUAAUCUGGCCAAAUGUUCAGUGUCCUUACAUGUAAUGUCUAUGGUCUGACGAUAAUCUGACCUCUUCAUGAAGCAGAAUGUGAUUGUUGUCCCGUGAGCUCCAGGCGCUCUGUGGGCCUGUCAACGUCUCUUUAGCAAAAGGUUGGAGUGAAAUUCAUUUUUGUGCCAUUUUCAUGUGUUCCUGAGUAUUUCAGACCUGUGGUGUUUCACAUGAGACCUUAAAGGGAACUUUUCCUUUUCUGCCUGCAUAUGUAAUGCCUACAUUAGUAGGGUGAUCACUGUUGAUCCCAAUAUUGAUCAUUAACCACCUCAUUCUUUUAUGAUUUUUUUCGUUAAGGAUUACAAAUCAUGUAAUUUAUGAGCAUAUUUGCAAAUGGCUCCAAAUAUCAGAUUGUGUAAAAACUAAUGAAAUAUAACCUGCUUGAUUUAAAGAAAAUAAAACAUCCAAAUAUUAUAAACCUGUUUUGUGUUGCUCUCUUACCAUUUGGAAAUGGAAACGCAGAUAGAUAUUUUUAGCUCUGAUUUGCUGCCUCCCUUUGGUGUGGUGCUGGGAU